rnacentral:rRNA from 1 species
UACAUAGGUCUCAAGCGUUGUUCGGAUUCAUUGGGCGUAAAGGGUGCGUAGGCGGCGCGGUAAGUCGGAUGUGAAAUCUCGGGGCUUAACUCCGAAACUGCAUUCGAUACUGCCGUGCUUGAGGACUGGAGAGGAGACUGGAAUUUACGGUGUAGCGGUGAAAUGCGUAGAUAUCGUAAGGAAGACCAAUGGCGAAGGCAGCUCGCUGGGACGUGACUGACGCUGAGACGCGAAAGCGUGGGGAGCAAACAGG